CACUUUACAUCUUUACAUUUUUCCCUAGCUCUAAGGUUGGGUUGAAAGUCAAAAGAAUAUUUUUACAUUAUACCUUUGGUUUCCGAGGUUGGGUUGAAAGUCAAAAGAAUAUUUUUACAUUAUACCUUUGGUUUCCAACAAAAAUAAUUCAUCUUCACUGUACAUCUUUAUUCACAUGCUUGGGUGAUGCUGAACGUUUAUUUGAGAAGUGCCUUUUAGUUACUUUCAGAAUAUAGGUACAAGUGACUUGAAUAGAAAGUUUUGGACCUUGUGAAAAAACCCAAGUUUUCCAUUUGCAUUGUAUCACUAGUAAUAUAUCAACAUAGAACAUACCCAGAAAUUUAUCAUCUCUAGUUAGGCAAAAGUACAGUUUCGCAUAUACUUGUAUACCAGGCUGUAAAUUUCGUGUUUGUGUAAUAAACAGGAAAAUGAAAACCUUGGUAUUGCUCCAUUUGACUAUUGUC
rnacentral:lncRNA from 1 species